CUGUGGAGCAAGAAGCAACCCGAAGCUAGGAGUCUGUCAGCGAGGGCAGGGGCUGCCUGGUUGGGCCUACAGACUACAAGAGAGGAUCCUGGCGUCUGGGCCUCCUGGGUCAUCACCAUGAGGCCACUUCUUGCCCUGCUGCUUCUGGGUCUGGCAUCAGGCUCUCCUCCUCUGGACGACAACAAGAUCCCCAGCCUGUGUCCCGGGCAGCCCGGCCUCCCAGGCACACCAGGCCACCACGGCAGCCAAGGCCUGCCUGGCCGUGACUGGGCCACGUGGGGAGCCCGGGCCGCGUGGAGAGGCAGGACCUGUGGGGGCUAUCGGGCCUGCGGGGGAGUGCUCGGUGCCCCCACGAUCAGCCUUCAGUGCCAAGCGAUCAGAGAGCCGGGUACCUCCGCCAGCCGACACACCCCUACCCUUCGACCGUGUGCUGCUCAAUGAGCAGGGACAUUACGAUGCCACUACCGGCAAGUUCACCUGCCAAGUGCCUGGUGUCUACUACUUUGCUGUCCAUGCCACUGUCUACCGGGCCAGCCUACAGUUUGAUCUUGUCAAAAAUGGCCAAUCCAUA
rnacentral:lncRNA from 1 species